rnacentral:rRNA from 1 species
GAUGAACGCUGGCGGCGUGCCUAAUACAUGCAAGUCGAGCGAACGGACGAGAAGCUUGCUUCUCUGAUGUUAGCGGCGGACGGGUGAGUAACACGUGGAUAACCUACCUAUAAGACUGGGAUAACUUCGGGAAACCGGAGCUAAUACCGGAUAAUAUUUUGAACCGCAUGGUUCAAAAGUGAAAGACGGUCUUGCUGUCACUUAUAGAUGGAUCCGCGCUGCAUUAGCUAGUUGGUAAGGUAACGGCUUACCAAGGCAACGAUGCAUAGCCGACCUGAGAGGGUGAUCGGCCACACUGGAACUGAGACACGGUCCAGACUCCUACGGGAGGCAGCAGUAGGGAAUCUUCCGCAAUGGGCGAAAGCCUGACGGAGCAACGCCGCGUGAGUGAUGAAGGUCUUCGGAUCGUAAAACUCUGUUAUUAGGGAAGAACAUAUGUGUAAGUAACUGUGCACAUCUUGACGGUACCUAAUCAGAAAGCCACGGCUAACUACGUGCCAGCAGCCGCGGUAAUACGUAGGUGGCAAGCGUUAUCCGGAAUUAUUGGGCGUAAAGCGCGCGUAGGCGGUUUUUUAAGUCUGAUGUGAAAGCCCACGGCUCAACCGUGGAGGGUCAUUGGAAACUGGAAAACUUGAGUGCAGAAGAGGAAAGUGGAAUUCCAUGUGUAGCGGUGAAAUGCGCAGAGAUAUGGAGGAACACCAGUGGCGAAGGCGACUUUCUGGUCUGUAACUGACGCUGAUGUGCGAAAGCGUGGGGAUCAAACAGGAUUAGAUACCCUGGUAGUCCACGCCGUAAACGAUGAGUGCUAAGUGUUAGGGGGUUUCCGCCCCUUAGUGCUGCAGCUAACGCAUUAAGCACUCCGCCUGGGGAGUACGACCGCAAGGUUGAAACUCAAAGGAAUUGACGGGGACCCGCACAAGCGGUGGAGCAUGUGGUUUAAUUCGAAGCAACGCGAAGAACCUUACCAAAUCUUGACAUCCUUUGACAACUCUAGAGAUAGAGCCUUCCCCUUCGGGGGACAAAGUGACAGGUGGUGCAUGGUUGUCGUCAGCUCGCGUCGUGAGAUGUUGGGUUAAGUCCCGCAACGAGCGCAACCCUUAAGCUUAGUUGCCAUCAUUAAGUUGGGCACUCUAAGUUGACCGCCGGUGACAAACCGGAGGAAGGUGGGGAUGACGUCAAAUCAUCAUGCCCCUUAUGAUUUGGGCUACACACGUGCUACAAUGGACAAUACAAAGGGCAGCGAAACCGCGAGGUCAAGCAAAUCCCAUAAAGUUGUUCUCAGUUCGGAUUGUAGUCUGCAACUCGACUACAUGAAGCUGGAAUCGCUAGUAAUCGUAGAUCAGCAUGCUACGGUGAAUACGUUCCCGGGUCU